UACGGAGGGUCCAAGCGUUAUCCGGAUUCAUUGGGUUUAAAGGGUGCGUAGGCGGGAAGCUAAGUCAGUGGUGAAAGCCCACAGCUCAACUGUGGAACUGCCAUUGAUACUGGUUUUCUUGAAUGCGAUUGAAGUGGGCGGAAUAUGACAUGUAGCGGUGAAAUGCAUAGAUAUGUCAUAGAACACCGAUAGCGAAGGCAGCUCACUAAGUCGUUAUUGACGCUGAGGCACGAAAGCGUGGGGAGCGAACAGG
rnacentral:rRNA from 1 species